UCUUCUUUCUCCACCAUUUU
rnacentral:snRNA from 1 species